GCGGAACAGUCUUGGCGCCAUGAUCCUCGUCAGAGGAAAGGCCAAGUAGGGAAUCGUAAGUCUGCUUCAUUUCUUCUUCAAUUUUCUCUCCAGCAGCCAGUUUCUCUGCAGGAGAUUCCGAAAUGGCAACUUGUGCCCCAGCCAAA
rnacentral:ribozyme from 17 species